rnacentral:rRNA from 1 species
UACAGAGACUGCAAGCGUUAUUCGGAUUCACUGGGCGUAAAGGGUGCGCAGGCGGCCAAGUGUGUUAGGCGAUGAAAGCCCGGGGCUUAACCCCGGAAUUGCACCUAAAACUACAUGGCUAGAGCAUUGGAGAGGGUAGCGGAAUUCACGGUGUAGCAGUGAAAUGCGUAGAUAUCGUGAGGAACACCAGAGGCGAAGGCGGCUACCUGGACAAUUGCUGACGCUCAGGCAGCGAAAGCGUGGGGAGCAAAAGGG